AUAUAUAUAAAACAAUGGGUACAUUUUAGAUUUAGAAAAAAUAAAUUGAUUUCACAUUAAAAAAAUGGGUACAUUUUAUAUAAAAAGAAUCGUACUUACAAAACAAAAAAAUUGGUACAUUUUGCAUAUAACAAGGUGUACAUUUUUAAAGAAAAAUGGGCACAUUAUAAACAAACUACGAGUACAAAUAAAAGGUUAAAAAAAUUAUGAGUACAAAUAAAAGGUUAAAAAAAAUAUGAGUACAAAUAAAAGUUUAAAAAAUAUGGGCAAAGAAAUUAAUAUA
rnacentral:lncRNA from 1 species